rnacentral:siRNA from 1 species
GCAAAUGCGACUUAUCACGGCUGC